GACCACUCUGGUGGCCUAAAAGUGGUUAGAGUGUUUACCUUAAAUGCAGAAGGUGACUGGUUUGAAUCCUGGCCAAGUCA